GCUGGGUGACAGUGUGAACCGUGAGGGGAAUGCUAUGAGAAUGCAGGGUGACUUGGACAGGUUGGGUGACUGGGCAGAUGCAUGGUAGAUGCAGUAUAAUGUGCCUAAUUGUGAGGUGAUCCACUUAGGUGGC